UUUUGGGAUUACACAUUUCUGACAUUUGUGCACUUAUUUUCUAAACCCAAUCUUCAGUGUUUGUGUCUGACUUGCUGCUGUCUCUUUGUUUCUUUAAAUGUUUCAAGGAAAAGGACUGAAAUCUCGCCGUAGGCACGACAGCCAGCGACACAAUGACACCAUUUUUCUUUAGCCAAUAAAUAAUAAUAUGCUCUGGAUAUUAACCCCAUAGUGCCUCUGUCAGAACAAGCUGCAAUUUGUUUACACAAUGGGCUUCCACACCUACAUAUGAAGCAAGGCAAGAUGGAGAUGUUGGAAGGCCCCCACCCCAUGGGAAAUGAUAGAGGGGAACAUUCAGCUAAUGAUGUCAGAAAAAUAUCUGAGUCAUAAAAUGGAUUCUCUAUGGACAUUAAAUGGAAAACACUGGAAAAAAACACGAGGAGGAGAACAAAUUGUAUUUGCGUGAGGAAUGUUAGAACACUUGGACUUGCCAGUUACACGGGGGCAUUCUAUCUGAUACCCAAUUUAAGGAGCAUACCUGUCGUACUUUAUGGCUGUGAUUCUAUCUUUUAUCAUGGAUAAGCAGAAAUCUGGCAAUAAAAGAGCAUUAUAUAAGUUAGCUUUCUGUGCGACCAGGGCUUUUUCAUUGCGCAUUUGGAUGUGAGGAGGCUGAGAAGUGGUGACAGAUAUAAUUGUGCCAAAGAAUAAAAAUUCCAGGCGUGUUUCUGGAAGAUUAAGUAGAAACCCAGUGGAGAGUCUUACUCAGUCAGAACACUCAGCACUUACACUGUGACAAGCGUAGAAAACUGGGGGGAAUUUUAUGGAUUCUGAGGUCUGAGAGCUAAACUGUAAAACCCUUGCGCUGCCAAACGCCAGCACUUCCCUGACUGGGGAAAGGGCAGUUAAUCAGACAUGGGACUGGCUGUCACUGGAUCAAUGAGUGAUAUUAUUAUUAUGAUGUAGGAACAUCCUGUCUGGUAGCACUUCCUGCUGAAUGCACCUGUCAUAUACUGCUCUGCACGAGCUCCACACACCAAAUUCCUGCUGUGCUCUGCAGGCAAUGGCCAAAGGAUGUGAUUUAAUAAACUUUAAACUGUCCGGUCACAUCAGAUCAGCUCUUU